GGCCUGGUGGUGUAACGGUAACAUAUCCUCUCAAAUUAGCGCAGCGACCACACUUUUGAGGAGGUUCCUUGUUCGAAUCAAGGUCAGGCCA